rnacentral:tRNA from 1 species
GGAGACGUGGCAGAGCGGCUUAAUGCAGCGGACUCAAAAUCCGACGGGGCUCGCCUGAGAACCAGCCCCCGUGGGUUCAAAUCCCACCGUCUCCGCCA